rnacentral:misc_RNA from 1 species
AACGCAUAUUGCGCUCGAGGCUUCGGCCAAGAGCAUGCCUGCCUCAGCGUCGGCCCUUCUCUCGCCGCCCGCCUUGUGUGGGUGUCGGACUUGGCCGUCUCGGCUGCACCAGCUGCCGGGUCGGCUGAAGCGUAUGGCGCAUCCGCUGGCCUUCAACCGGCGUUGACAAACUGCGUAGCCUUGCUACCGCCUUGUCGACUGCCGUGGCUUGUUCGGAUGCGCGCCAGGACUGGGCUGUCCCCAGCACCUUUUCACCCUUCGACCUGAGCUCAGGCAAGACCACCCGCUGAACUUAA